UACGAAGGGGGCUAGCGUUGCUCGGAAUCACUGGGCGUAAAGCGCACGUAGGCGGAUCUUUAAGUCAGGGGUGAAAUCCCAAGGCUCAACCUUGGAACUGCCUUUGAUACUGGGGAUCUCGAGUCCGGAAGAGGUUGGUGGAACUGCGAGUGUAGAGGUGAAAUUCGUAGAUAUUCGCAAGAACACCAGUGGCGAAGGCGGCCAACUGGUCCGGCACUGACGCUGAGGCGCGAAGGCGCGGGGAGCGAACGGG
rnacentral:rRNA from 1 species